rnacentral:rRNA from 1 species
GACGAACGCUGGCGGCGUGCCUAAUACAUGCAAGUUGAGCGAUGAAGCUUGGUGCUUGCCCCAAUUUGAAGAGCAGCGAACGGGUGAGUAACGCGUGGGGAAUCUGCCUUUGAGCGGGGGACAACAUUUGGAAACGAAUGUUAAUACCGCAUAACAACUUUAAACAUAAGUUUUAAGUUUGAAAGAUGCAAUUGCAUCACUCAAAGAUGAUCCCGCGUUGUAUUAGCUAGUUGGUGAGGUAAAGGCUCACCAAGGCGAUGAUACAUAGCCGACCUGAGAGGGUGAUCGGCCACAUUGGGACUGAGACACGGCCCAAACUCCUACGGGAGGCAGCAGUAGGGAAUCUUCGGCAAUGGACGAAAGUCUGACCGAGCAACGCCGCGUGAGUGAAGAAGGUUUUCGGAUCGUAAAACUCUGUUGGUAGAGAAGAACGUUGGUGAGAGUGGAAAGCUCAUCAAGUGACGGUAACUACCCAGAAAGGGACGGCUAACUACGUG